UAUAUUCUGUAGCAAGGUUAACCGUAUAGGGGAGCCGAAGGGAAACCGAGUCUUAACCGGGCGUUAAGUUGCAGGGUAUAGACCCGAAACCCGGUGAUCUAGCCAUGGGCAGGUUGAAGGUUGGGUAACACUAACUGGAGGACCGAACCGACUAAUGUUGAAAAAUUAGCGGAUGACCUGUGGCUGGGGGUGAAAGGCCAAUCAAACCGGGAGAUAGCUGGUUCUCCCCGAAAGCUAUUUAGGUAGCGCCUCGUGAAUUCAUCUCCGGGGGUAGAGCACUGUUUCGGCUAGGGGGCCAUCCCGGCUUACCAACCCGAUGCAAACUGCGAAUACCGGAGAAUGUUAUCACGGGAGACACACGGCGGGUGCUAACGUCCGUCGUGAAGAGGGAAACAACCCAGACCGCCAGCUAAGGUCCCAAAGUCAUGGUUAAGUGGGAAACGAUGUGGGAAGGCCCAGACAGCCAGGAUGUUGGCUUAGAAGCAGCCAUCAUUUAAAGAAAGCGUAAUAGCUCACUGGUCGAGUCGGCCUGCGCGGAAGAUGUAACGGGGCUAAACCAUGCACCGAAGCUGCGGCAGCGAACGUAUCACUUAAAGCGAUUCAGCGGGUUACGAUUGACGGAGCGAAGCGACGUCAAAGCGUAUACAAAGUCGAGUCGGUUUAAGGAUACGUUCGUUGGGUAGGGGAGCGUUCUGUAAGCCUGUGAAGGUGUGUCGUGAGGCAUGCUGGAGGUAUCAGAAGUGCGAAUGCUGACAUAAGUAACGAUAAAGCGGGUGAAAAGCCCGCUCGCCGGAAGACCAAGGGUUCCUGUCCAACGUUAAUCGGGGCAGGGUGAGUCGACCCCUAAGGCGAGGCCGAAAGGCGUAGUCGAUGGGAAACGGGUUAAUAUUCCCGUACUUGGUGUUACUGCGAAGGGGGGACGGAGAAGGCUAUGUUGGCCGGGCGACGGUUGUCCCGGUUUAAGCGUGUAGGUGUGUGUUCCAGGUAAAUCCGGUUCACUUUAACACUGAGGCGUGACGACGAGGCACUACGGUGCUGAAGCAACAAAUGCCCUGCUUCCAGGAAAAGCCUCUAAGCAUCAGGUAACAUCAAAUCGUACCCCAAACCGACACAGGUGGUCAGGUAGAGAAUACCAAGGCGCUUGAGAGAACUCGGGUGAAGGAACUAGGCAAAAUGGUGCCGUAACUUCGGGAGAAGGCACGCUGACACGUAGGUGAAGUGAUUUACUCAUGGAGCUGAAGUCAGUCGAAGAUACCAGCUGGCUGCAACUGUUUAUUAAAAACACAGCACUGUGCAAACACGAAAGUGGACGUAUACGGUGUGACGCCUGCCCGGUGCCGGAAGGUUAAUUGAUGGGGUCAGCGCAAGCGAAGCUCCUGAUCGAAGCCCCGGUAAACGGCGGCCGUAACUAUAACGGUCCUAAGGUAGCGAAAUUCCUUGUCGGGUAAGUUCCGACCUGCACGAAUGGCGUAAUGAUGGCCAGGCUGUCUCCACCCGAGACUCAGUGAAAUUGAACUCGCUGUGAAGAUGCAGUGUACCCGCGGCAAGACGGAAAGACCCCGUGAACCUUUACUAUAGCUUGACACUGAACAUUGAGCCUUGAUGUGUAGGAUAGGUGGGAGGCUUUGAAGCGUGGACGCCAGUCUGCAUGGAGCCGACCUUGAAAUACCACCCUUUAAUGUUUGAUGUUCUAACGUGGACCCGUGAUCCGGGUUGCGGACAGUGUCUGGUGGGUAGUUUGACUGGGGCGGUCUCCUCCUAAAGAGUAACGGAGGAGCACGAAGGUUGGCUAAUCCUGGUCGGACAUCAGGAGGUUAGUGCAAUGGCAUAAGCCAGCUUGACUGCGAGCGUGACGGCGCGAGCAGGUGCGAAAGCAGGUCAUAGUGAUCCGGUGGUUCUGAAUGGAAGGGCCAUCGCUCAACGGAUAAAAGGUACUCCGGGGAUAACAGGCUGAUACCGCCCAAGAGUUCAUAUCGACGGCGGUGUUUGGCACCUCGAUGUCGGCUCAUCACAUCCUGGGGCUGAAGUAGGUCCCAAGGGUAUGGCUGUUCGCCAUUUAAAGUGGUACGCGAGCUGGGUUUAGAACGUCGUGAGACAGUUCGGUCCCUAUCUGCCGUGGGCGCUGGAGAACUGAGGGGGGCUGCUCCUAGUACGAGAGGACCGGAGUGGACGCAUCACUGGUGUUCGGGUUGUCAUGCCAAUGGCACUGCCCGGUAGCUAAAUGCGGAAGAGAUAAGUGCUGAAAGCAUCUAAGCACGAAACUUGCCCCGAG
rnacentral:rRNA from 1 species